rnacentral:rRNA from 1 species
ACCAUGGGCGAAAGCCUGAUGCAGCAACGCCGCGUGAAGGAUGAAGGCCUUCGGGUUGUAAACUUCUGUUCUAAGGGAAGAAAGAAAUGACGGUACCUUAGGAGCAAGCCCCGGCUAACUACGUGCCAGCAGCCGCGGUAAUACGUAGGGGGCAAGCGUUAUCCGGAAUUAUUGGGCGUAAAGAGUGCGUAGGUGGUUACCUAAGCGCAAGGUUUAAUUUAGAGGCUCAACCUCUACUUGCCUUGCGAACUGGGCUACUUGAGUGCAGGAGGGGAAAGCGGAAUUCCUAGUGUAGCGGUGAAAUGCGUAGAUAUUAGGAGGAACACCAGCGGCGAAGGCGGCUUUCUGGACUGUAACUGACACUGAGGCACGAAAGCGUGGGUAGCAAACAGGAUUAGAUACCCUGGUAGUCCACGCCGUAAACGAUGAGCACUAGGUGUUGGGUCCGUUAGGACUCAGUGCCGCAGUUAACGCAAUAAGUGCUCCGCCUGGGGAGUACGCUCGCAGAGUAAAACUCAAAGG